ACUUCUGCGCGGCGCCUGCCGCCCGCACCGGCUAGGUACUCUGCCGCCACCGGCAUGCAAAUAACGCGGGGCAGCCCACCAAUCAUCGGCCGCGAUGGGCAGGGGCUGCACCAAUGAUCUCCCACAGAGGCGGUCACUAUGCAGAUUUCACUCAGCCGCGGGUAAAUCCCUCGGCGGCGGAGGCGGGGCUGGAGGCCGAGAGUCUGGUAGAGCUGACGGGAGGACGGCGGAGGAGGGGGAAGAGAAGGCGAGUGAGUGAGCUGGGAGGUGGGGAGCAGAGACUGGGAAAGGAGGGAUCGAAACGUUAGGCUCGGGAGCUGACGACUUAAAGAAAAAUGUGAAGGAAAAGCCACUGUGCGUUGCCCCUUCCCGUCGUCCAGGCUUUGGGCGUUCGCAGCUCCCUUUCGAGCCCUCUGCUACCGAACACUACGCCAGCGAGUCGAGUUUUGGCUUAAUUUUGCCUUCCUGCGCAUCUUUACUUAUGCAAUACCGCCGCCUCAUGGUGAGGGCUGGGAACGGCGUCAAGGACGGACGUACUCAUAUGAACGACACAAGUCCUCAGGGACCAAAUCAAGAGAGGACACAAGGUGUGAUUACAUCUUAUAGAACAAGAGAUGAGAAGUCGAAGUAGCCAAAUUUCAGAAUGCUGUGAAUGUUAAAUUGCACCAAAAGGAUUUGUUCAGCAAAAUUCAGCGGCUGGAAACACUACUGCACAAACAACUGAGUUCCGGAAGUAAAUUACAUGGAAAGAAAGAGAUGGAGAGGAAACCUAUACACUGAAAAAAGACUUGCAGCCAAUCACAAUGUGUGGAAUUUAUUUGGAAUUUGUAGGGUUUUUUUUUUAAUCAAUAAAUAUUUGACCUUAUGAAACUAUUGGAAUAUUUGCUAUUAUGAAAUCAUUGUUAGUUUUUUGAUGUGGUAAUGGUAGUGUGGUUAUGUUUAUUAAAUGUUCUUAUCUUUUAGAGA